GAGCCCGCGUCCCAUUAGCUAGACGGUGGGGUAACGGCCUACCGUGGCAACGAUGAAUAGCAGGCCUGAGAGGGUGGCCUGCCACACUGGGACUGGAACACGGCCCAGACUCCUACGGGAGGCAGCAGUGGGGAAUAUUGCGCAAUGGACGAGAGUCUGACGCAGCGACGCCGCGUGGAGGUUGAAGGUUUUCGGAUCGUAAACUCCUGUCAAGAGGGAAGAAACCUAUUAAGAAUAAUACUCUUAGUAAUUGACGGUACCUCUAGAGGAAGCACCGGCUAAUUCAGUGCCAGCAGCCGCGGUAAUACUGAAGGUGCAAGCGUUAAUCGGAAUCACUGGGCGUAAAGCGCUCGUAGGUGGCUUUGUAAGUCAGGUGUGAAAGCCCACGGCUCAACCGUGGAAUUGCACUUGAUACUGCAUCGCUAGAGUAUAGGAGAGGGAAGUGGAAUUUCUGGUGUAGGAGUGAAAUCCGUAGAGAUCAGAGGGAACACCCGUGGCGAAGGCGACUUCCUGGACUAUUACUGACACUGAGGAGCGAAAGCGUGGGGAGCAAACAGGAUUAGAUACCCUGGUAGUCCACGCCGUAAACGAUGGA
rnacentral:rRNA from 1 species